AACGAACGCUGGCGGCGUGGAUAAGACAUGCAAGUCGAACGGGAUUUUUUCCUGUAGCAAUACAGGAAAAAGUCUAGUGGCGAACGGGUGCGUAACACGUGAGCAACCUGCCGUGAAGUGGGGGAUAGCUCGCCGAAAGGCGAAUUAAUACCGCAUGUGGCCAAGGAAGACAUCUUCCUGACGCCAAAGCCGGGGCAACCUGGCGCUUCUCGAGGGGCUCGCGGCCUAUCAGCUUGUUGGUGAGGUAACGGCUCACCAAGGCUAUGACGGGUAGCUGGGCUGAGAGGACGACCAGCCACACUGGGACUGAGAUACGGCCCAGACUCCUACGGGUGGCAGCAGUCGAGAAUUUUUCACAAUGGGGGAAACCCUGAUGGAGCGACGCCGCGUGGAGGAUGAAGGUUUUCGGAUUGUAAACUCCUGUCAUUAGAGAACAAGGCACACGGUUUAACUGGCCGUGUGUUGAUAGUAGCUGAAGAGGAAGAGACGGCUAACUCUGUGCCAGCAGCCGCAGUAA
rnacentral:rRNA from 1 species